AUUAGUGGAGAUAUCCAGAAGGUUAUUUCAAUUGUUAUAAUUGCUUCAAAAAGUUUAGGUAUUGCUGAAAACUUUGCAAUUUCCCUAUACUUUUCAAUGGAUAACAUAAAUCCACUCUUAUGCAAAGGAGUUAUUAAUGACUUUUUCAUAUAGAUGGAAAUGAACCUUGCUUAAGAGAUGUAUUAAAUAGUUUUGUUAAGGGUUGGUAUAUGCAUACAUAUAUUUGGCAUAGUAUAUCUGGGCCAUAAUUAAAUGAUAGUUCUAACAUAUUUAACUGAUAUAAGACGUCUGCUUCGGAAAUGGUGGGUGCAUUAAUUACAAAAAUCGGACAUAACUUGUGCUGAUGCGUAACAUUUUUAGAGUUUUUAAAAAGUAAUUGGACCUAAAGAACUUAGCAAACAUAUUAGAAAUUGUGUGAUUGUCACUGGACAUAGUAGACUUAUAUUUCAUCGCUGACGGAAAAUUAGAAUUCUUGCGUUUGGAGUUGGCGAAACCAUAGAACAAUUUUGGAUUACCUAUAAUAUUAUUUUUUCUUGGUUUAUAUAAUUAUUAGAACAUAUUUUGUUAAGGCGAAAUAAAUUAAAAUUAGCCAACACCCAAUUAAAGUCAAUUUGAAUUGCUUCAAUAGUACAAUAUAACAGAGAUACUUUUCUUAACAGAUCACUUAAUCAAGAUAUUUUCACAAUAAAAUUUUAAAUAUAAAUCAAACAACUUUGCAAGAGCACGAAAUUUCACAAUUGAGCACGAGAAGGGUUGCCAGAUAAAAUUGUACAAACAUAUUGAAACAUUUCCAGCUUUUCACCAACACUGUUACAUUUUCUGCAAUUUUCAAAUGAAUGGGAGCAAGCGUAAAUAAGAGAAACUGCAGCUGUUUGGUGGUUAUAAAUACGUUUAAUCAAACCGCUGCCUUUGAAACUGUGUAGUAGCGUUGGGAAUAACUGUGCUUGUCACCAAUUGUUAUUAACUAACAAAUAUUUUUAAUAUAGUAUGUUUUUCUUUACUACAGUUAUCCAAUUGUAAGCGAUGGCAACUCUGUUGCCCAACAAGUGUCAGAUGAAAUGAAGUAAGUGGCAGCAACCAAAAGGGCACAGUCAAAAAGCAACCGUCAGCGAGUGAACAACGUAAAAUAGCGAGUACGCAGUGUUGAGAACGCUUUAUAAAAAAAAUGCAUAAACUGUCAUAUCUGUAUAUAUAUAAAUCUUCUGACCGUUUGUAAUUGAACUGCUCCUAAACGGCUGGACCGAUUUCGAUGAAAUUUUGUGUGUGUGUUCAAGGAAAUUCGAGAAUGGUUUAGAUUCACAAUUUGGUCCACUGGAAAAUGUUUUUGAAGUGAAACUUCUUUACGUGCGCUUGGCUUGGGGAGUAAGCUGACGAACGCCUUACGAAAAGUGUGAUCAGGCGAGGCGAACGGUAAUUGGUGGGGAUAUAGGCAAGCGUCAGCAGUGCGCACGCACAUUUUUCUUUCUUUCUCUUCAGUCAGUAGUUCGUUUGCGAUUUUACUAGCGUUACGCGAAUGGUGAUAGUUUGGUUAUUUUGUUGUAAUUUACUGUAAUUUUAUUGCGUUUUGAAACAAUUUUACGAAUUAAUAUUGUUCAAUACAUUCAAUAUUUUACGUUUAAAGUGAAUAAAAUUGUAAAUUUAUUUUAAAGUUUAUGUUUUCUGAAUUUUCGGGUAAAUAAUAACAAAUUAUGGAGAAAAGUGACACAGACUCCGAGUAUCAAAGCGGUGCUUUAGGACCACCAACUAAGAAGAAAUUACGUACGGAAAUUGUGCAUAAAAAGUGUGUGACAACAGAUUCAAGACAAGAUUUUAAACCUAGUGAGACCCAAUCAAUUGAUAAUGAAUCACGAAGAGGUUUACCAUUACAAAUAAUUGGUGACAUCGUGAUUGAACAUGACAAUAAUCAAAUGGAAGUUAAUGAUGGAAAUCUCACUAUACAUAGAUCAUGUACAAAAACCGAGACAAUUGAUUGAAGUUAGGUUAAAUAAAGCGCCAAAAACUUCUGCAGAACGUGGUCGAGAAUUCAGAGCACGAAAAGCACUGCUUAAACAACAAUGUAAGCAACAACAGGAACCAGAUGCAAUAGUUGAAAUUGCUAAUGAUACCUCGAAUAUAAUAACUUCGAACAUGGACAUUCUAUUACGACAUAUUCGUGAAGUUGAUAUUGGUUAGUCAUCAAUUGGUGAUAUAUGUGCUGCUCACUGUGUUUUGGACGAUGGAACAAACAUCAUAAUGGUAGUUGUUUACAUUUCGCCCAAUAACACAGUUAAUAAUAUCAUAAAGUUUGUAUACAGAAGACUUAUGAUUUAUGGUCGAGUGGGUUCUGAAGAACUAGGAGAAAACUAUCAUACGUUGCCACUAAUCUUAGCAGGAGAUUUCAAUAUCAAUUUCGCAUCCGAAGAUGGACAACUCUUGAUAAACUUUCUACGAGAUAAAUUAGAAUUACAAAUGAAUAAUGACCGUAAUGAACCAACUACAAGACAUGGAACAACAAUCGAUGCAUUUUUUUUCUAAAUUUCAGUCUAAUUUUAAUUCUAAAAUAUAUGUAUCGUAUUUCUCGUAUCAUAAGCCUAUUGUCUCGGUUUUACAAUCAACCACAGUAAUUACUGAUGUACCCAAUAAUGAAAAUAACGAAUAAAACAAUGAAAAAAAAUAAAAGAUCUAUGCAAAAAUAUUAAUUUACUA